CUAAGCAGUUUAAUAAUCAUAUUUUUCCUAAAAAGUUUGUGACUCUAAUUUUAUAGGAAUCCAGAUAAUUUCUCUACAAUUCUCAACAUGUACAGGACUCGAAAGUUCCACACCAAUGAGAGUGGGUGUGCCUUGGUUUUACAGAGAGAUCUAGAAUAUUGGUCAAUAGAUGAGCUGACAAUGGAACCUUGCUGUGCUCUCAAAUACUACCCAGAGAUAGAGGUUUGUCAGAAUGAGAAGGAUGGAGAUAUAGAGUCCAAGAAAAAAGCUCUUGAACAGGGAUAUUUUCAUAAAAAUAUACCAGG